rnacentral:rRNA from 1 species
UACGUAGGGGGCAAGCGUUGUCCGGAAUUAUUGGGCGUAAAGAGCUCGUAGGCGGUCUGUCGCGUCGGCUGUGAAAACUCGGGGCUUAACCCCGGGUCGGCAGUGGAUACGGGCAGGCUAGAGGUAGGUAGGGGAGAAUGGAAUUCCCGGUGUAGCGGUGAAAUGCGCAGAUAUCGGGAGGAACACCGACGGCGCAGGCAGCGUCCUGGCCGCUUGCUGACACUGAGGCACGAAAGCUGGGGGGAGCAAACAGG